GACGAACGCUGGCGGCGUGCUUAACACAUGCAAGUCGAACGGAAAGGCCCUGCUUUUGUGGGGUGCUCGAGUGGCGAACGGGUGAGUAACACGUGAGUAACCUGCCCUUGACUUUGGGAUAACUUCAGGAAACUGGGGCUAAUACCGGAUAGGAGCUCCUGCUGCAUGGUGGGGGUUGGAAAGUUUCGGCGGUUGGGGAUGGACUCGCGGCUUAUCAGCUUGUUGGUGGGGUAGUGGCUUACCAAGGCUUUGACGGGUAGCCGGCCUGAGAGGGUGACCGGGCACAUUGGGAAUGAGAUACGGCCCAGACUCCUACGGGAGGCAGCAGUGGGGAAUAUUGCACAAUGGGCGGAAGCCUGAUGCAGCAACGCCGCGGGCGGGAUGACGGCCUUCGGGUUAUAAACCGCUUUCGCCUGUGACGAAGCGUGAGUGACGGUAAUGGGUAAAGAAGCACCGGCUAACUACGUG
rnacentral:rRNA from 1 species